GUGAGCGUGCGGGUGAGCGCGUGGGUGAGCGCACGGACGGGAGGGCUGGUGAGCGUUCGGGCCGGGACGUCAGGCCAGUAUGGACAAGUAGGCCGAAUAUCGUCUUCAGAGACCGCCUGCCUUGAAGGCCUUUCUGCAACACGGUGGGUUUUGAGGGGGCAUCCAUCCAUCAAUGGCAAGUUGGAUGAGUCGUUGAGUGCAGAGGAGGGAGUGAGAGCGAGGCAGGCAGGGAAGGAAUGGGGGUGGCGAACGAAGGAGCGGCGGAGCAAGAGCACCAGCAAACCGUGCCAGCUCCUUGUUCUUACAACAAAAGCCUAUUGUUCCCAGAAUGCAUUGCGCAUGUCUAUGGUCGUGCUGCGUGUGUGUGUGUGGUGGGGUUUUUUUUUGUUUUUUCCCCGACAGCUGGGUCCUUUGGGUGGCCCGAACGCGACAGUUUCGUGUUAAUUUGUCCGCCCCCUUCUUAGCCGUUGUGCACGCCUGGCUAAGCACCACAAUCCCACAGUCCCUGCCCCUCUCCCCCACACACAAAGACAAAGAUCCCCACGCACAAACAAAGACACACACACACGUACGCAGACUCGCGCAGUGUCACGCGUGCACAGAGUGAACGCGUGCAGUCACACACGCCCCACACACGUCAUAGGACAGACGCCAUUCGCCACUAAGUGACGGUGACGUCACCA